GAUGAACGCUGGCGGCGUGCUUAACACAUGCCAGUCGAACGAAGCAUUUGCGACAGAUUUUUUCGGAAUGAAGUUGCUUAUGACUGAGUGGCGGACGGGUGAGUAACGCGUGGGUAACCUGCCUUGUACUGGGGGAUAGCAGCUGGAAACGGCUGGUAAUACCGCAUAAGCGCACAAUGUUGCAUGACAUGGUGUGAAAAACUCCGGUGGUAUAAGAUGGACCCGCGUCUGAUUAGCUAGUUGGUGAGAUAACAGCCCACCAAGGCGACGAUCAGUAGCCGACCUGAGAGGGUGACCGGCCACAUUGGGACUGAGACACGGCCCAGACUCCUACGGGAGGCAGCAGUGGGGAAUAUUGCACAAUGGAGGAAACUCUGAUGCAGCGACGCCGCGUGAGUGAAGAAGUAAUUCGUUAUGUAAAGCUCUAUCAGCAGGGAAGAUAGUGACGGUACCUGACUAAGAAGCGCCGGCUAAAUACGUG
rnacentral:rRNA from 1 species